UACGUAGGGGGCAAGCGUUGUCCGGAAUCAUUGGGCGUAAAGAGCGUGUAGGCGGCCCGGUAAGUCCGCUGUGAAAGUCCAGGGCUCAACCCUGGGAUGCCGGUGGAUACUGUCGGGCUCGAGUCCGGAAGAGGAGUGUGGAAUUCCGUGGUGUAGCGGUGAAAUGCGCAGAUAUCAGGAGGAACACCAAUGGCGAAGGCAGCACUCUGGGACGUGACUGACGCUGAGACGCGAAAGCGUGGGGAGCAAACAGG
rnacentral:rRNA from 1 species